UUUGAACCGUUCAUCACGAUUGAUCUCGAUCGUCUGAUCGUACUUAAGGGGGAAACGAAUUCAGGUCGUCCACGCGCGCGGAAUCAAUCUUGGGUCAUCUGAUCGGGGGGCACGCGAAUCGCUUGUGUGCCUUCCUGCGUGGCACUGAUGUCAACGUGCCUUACCACACGAUGCUCGUCGAUUUGUCGAGAUUACUGACUGGCUACGUAGUCGAACUUUUUCUUUUUGCACUUUAACCCCUUGUUUCUAUUUUUUUUUUCAAAA
rnacentral:lncRNA from 1 species